rnacentral:rRNA from 1 species
AUGCUGAUAAACAGAUGGCGGUCCAAAAACGCUGAGGACCAGAGGACCAAGGAGGAGAUGACUGAUCAGAUGGGCAAAGGCAAAUCCAGCACCCACUGUCUUGAGAAGCAGAGGACAGAGGAAGAGGUGAAUGUAUCUAUAACAGAUUUGACUGACCAUAUCGCUGAUGAUGGCCAGUUGACAGAUGAUGAGGGUGACCAUUUUGUGGGAGCAGAUCUGAUAAGUUGCCUUUCCAACCAGAUGACUGCGUACAUGGAUGAUGGCCAAUCAAGCGCCGAGAUGCAUGUGUCGAGGAUGAUGGACAAAGGCAAAUCAAUUAGUGAAGGCAUGUCAAGCAUGGAGAAAAGCAAACCGGAUUCAGAUGCGUCGAGGAUGUUGGAUAUGAUGAUGCUGGAUUCUGAUGAUAAGAGUGAGUCGGAUGGUAUGACCAACUUGUGCAAAUAUUACAAGAUGCUCGAAUUUGAGGGUGAGAAGGUGUUGGGCAAGAUGACUGCGGAGAAUUUAAGGAUGUAUUACAGAUUUCAUACGGAGCUAUUAAAGAUGGAAGCCAGCUCUCGCGAGUUCCGGGAGCAGAAUGAAAAGGAUGACCUGAGGUGGGAGCAGGAUAAGAAGGACGCAUUGAGCUGUUGCAGAACAGACCCGACCCCCUUCUCACUUCAGGACGCGGUUGAGGAGGAGGGGGAGGAGGAGGAGGUGACAGAAUUCACAAAAUCAGACAAAGAGGAGAUGGAGACGGAGGACAUGUUGUUUUCUGGAAAACGUAAAGGCUGGGAAUCCGCAUGGGGAUGCUGUGGUGAAUUUGAAGACAGUACCGCAGUGAGUCCUAUGCACUUUACACAUUGCACGCCGGGACUGAUCCCGUACGCCGCUCGCUCUGUGAGCACCUUGCAGAUCUACUCCUUAAAGAUUGUUGGAACAGAUGGAAAGUUGAAGUUACCACUCCAUGUGUAUGGUCUUGUUGCUGCCCGGGACACCGUGGACUACAACCGCAACAUUCUCUUCUUUAGGCGAAGGGAAGACUGUCAAAAACUCACUCCAGAGGAUCCAUUUUUGCACUUGACUGGCCCGUCCCGUGCCAUCGUGGCUGUGGACCAUGUUGACUUCGAAGUCCAACUGAAAGUAAAGGGUGCAACAAGGUCCAGCGACAGAGCAUUGAUCAGUCGUUGCUGCACUUAUGCUGGUGGUUAUCAUGAAGGUUUAGAUACCGCUCUCUUCAGCAACUGCUUUUGCACGGUAGAGUUAAGCUUGGAGCGACUCGCAAAGACAGUCCAGGCUACCAUCUUAAGUAUCCGUGUUGUUGAAGGCGGACCUUGGCCUUUUGAAUAUGGUGGUCGGAUUGUGUGCUCCUCACCACCACAGGAAGUUAUGGACUCCCUGGCCAGGCAAGUUGUGUUGGUUGAUUCUCGUUCUUCUGAUGGUGGAGAAAUGCCAAUGGGCACAGGUGGCUACCUUGAUCUGUCAAGGCAUGUUGUUUCUGUAGAACUGGAAGAAAGCCUGCAAUUUGUUAUACAAGCCUACUCGCAGUCUGGUGAUGCUAUUGCUAGACAAGGUCGUGUCAAGUUCAGGGCCGAAUAUUGCAACGUAAGUCGAGGUAUAUGUGAGAUUGGUGACUCUAAGGUGGAGAUUACUGUUGCUUGGUCCAAACUUGUUACCAAAAGGAUGGAUAUCCUCUUAGAAGGACAUGUUUGA